UACGUAGGGCGCAAGCGUUGUCCGGAAUUAUUGGGCGUAAAGAGCUCGUAGGCGGCUUGUCACGUCGGGUGUGAAAGCCCGGGGCUUAACCCCGGGUCUGCAUUCGAUACGGGCAGGCUAGAGUGUGGUAGGGGAGAUCGGAAUUCCUGGUGUAGCGGUGAAAUGCGCAGAUAUCAGGAGGAACACCGGUGGCGAAGGCGGAUCUCUGGGCCAUUACUGACGCUGAGGAGCGAAUGCGUGGGGAGCGAACAGG
rnacentral:rRNA from 1 species